rnacentral:lncRNA from 1 species
CCCCUUCCCCGGCCGCCCCCUCGGAUUUUAGGGCGGUGAAGGGAAGGGGCGGCGUUGCGGGGAGAGCCGCACGGCACGGGCGAUGCCGCUGUGCCUGGGGAGCAAACAAACAAAGCGAGGGGCUUCGAGCAUCGACGCGGGGGAGAGGUGUGGGGGGAGGGGGGGGGGGGAGGGGAGAGAAUUUGUUUUUGAAUGAUUUUUUCAUUUGUAUUAAUUUCUAUCUUUUCAGGUGGUGACGGAGGGAGGGGCGCCCCCCCCACACCCCCACACCCCGCAGCCCCUUCCCCCUCUCGGCUCAGGCACACGAAGCUCACGAGAGACGCAGGGAGCGGGGCCGGGUUGGGGGGGGCGGGCGGGGGGGUGGGGGGAUGCCGAGCUGAAGUCCUGCACCGAGAUGGGAAUGGACACAGAAGGGAACGCCGGAGAGGGCCGGGGCGGCCGUCGGACCCCGCACGGGGCGGGGCUGCUCCGCUGUGCUGCGUCCCGGGGCGGUGUUCCGGGAGCCCUCCGCUCUCGUUCCGUUCUUUAAAGAGAAACCCAAAAAACCCAAACAAACAAAACCAACCCAAACCGGCCUCCCCCCCCCCCCCCCCGCCCCUUCCCCCCCCGCCCCGCCAUUGUUAUUGGCAAACCGGAUCCUCUCACGGCGGGAAUAGAAAAGCGAGCAGGUCAGCUGCCCCCCUCCCCCACCAUAAAAACACGGCUGGGCACGAGCUGUGCUGGGGGCACGGGUAGCACCGAACGGGGCUUCUCCAGCGUUAAAAAGCGAUAUGGUGUUGCGGUGGUACAGUGGGGCCAUAUCCCGCCGGCUCUCGGCUGCUCUGCACCCAGAGAGUGGAUGGAUGGAUGGGUGGAUGGAUGGAUGGAUGGAUGGAUGGAUACAUGGAUGGAUAGGUAGAUGGAUGGAAAGGAUGCGGGGAAGGAAGGAAGGAUGGAUAGAUGGAUGGAAAGGAUGGAGGGAAGGAAGGAAGGAAAGAGAGAAAGACAGAAGGAAGGAAGGAAAGAGAGAAAAGGAAGGAAGGAAAGAGAGAAAAGGAAGGAAGGAAAGAAAGAGAGAAAGAAAAGGAAAGAAGGAAAGAGAAAGAAAAGGAAAGAAGGAAAGAGAAAGAAAAGGAAGGAAGGAAAGAGAAAGAAAAGGAAGGAAGGAAAGAGAAAGAAAAGGAAGGAAGGAAAGAGAGAAAGAAAAGGAAGGAAGGAAGGAAGGAAGGAAGGAAGGAAGGAGAGAAAGAAGGAAGGAAGGAAAGAAGGAAAAGGUAGCACUGUCUGCAGUGUAGGGUUGUUAGAGAAGGUUCCCCCACUGCUGCCACCAAACAGUUAAAACGUUCCAAGCCCUGUCCGAAAUGCAGUGUCGCGCUGUUGCUCUCUGCCUGGGCCGAGGUUUCAUCCUCCCCCCGCCCCGCCCCGCAGCCCUCAGCCCUCAGCCCCGCUCCAUCCAUGCCCGCUGACUGCCGGCCCCCGCACAGCCCGGGCUGCGGGCACGGAGGGCGGACAAACCGUUUCCUUUCCCCGGAACGUUUUGGAGGAGGAGGAGGGCCUGGAGGUGCCCCGGAGGUGAGGGAGAGGCCGGGGCUGUGCCUCCGCGCUGCGUGUGGACAACGCUCUGCAGGAGCCGGGACUUCACCGAGAGAGUAAUGCAGAAAGUGCGGUUGCAUCUCGGAUCGGAGAGGAACCCCGAAAGGCUCAGAGAAAAACCCCAAUGAAAUAUUGGUUUGGAGAAGGAAAAAAAAAAGAAAAAAAAGAAUGUCCAUACAAAUAUCUGUCUACCUUCUGGAUUUACCCCUCGUUCUCCUUUCUUCCUUCUCUUUAUUCUUUCCUUCCUUCUUUUCUUUCUUUUUUUUCUCCCCCUUUCUUUUAUUUCUUUCUUUCCUUUAUUUUUUUUCUCUCUUCCCUUUACUUUACCUCUCCCUUCCUUUCCUUCCUUUCCUUCCUUUCCUUCCUUUCCUUCCUUUCCUUCCUUUCCUUCCUUUCCUUCCUUCCUCUCUUCCUGUUCCCGUUCCCUCCCUGUUUCCCUUUUUACCCCUCUCCCUUCUCCCAUCCCUCCCUUCCCUCCUGCCCCGUCCCCUCUCUCUCCUCCGGGGCACACAGGGACUAUCGCAGCCCGGCCGCGCUCCGUUCCCCUCCCGGUGCCGCACCCCCAGGACGCAGCGGGGCCGUUCCAAGUUCAAAGUCGCACGGCCGUCCCCCGAGAGUCUCUUUACCCCUCCCCGCACCGCGGCCCCUUUUCCCCGGGCGCCGGAGAGCCCCUCUCCGGGUAGAAUGUGAUUCCGGAGCCGGGCCGGAGCUCUCCUCCGCGGACAGAACUUCAGCUUCUUCCGGGGGCGACGUACGGCUGCGAAGAGAGGAAGGAGGGGAGAGGGCACAACCAAAAACGCGCCCCGGGUUUCCCGAGGCCGCCCCUCUCCCUCCGUUCUCUUCCAACACAUACAGACGCAAACGGAAGGAGGGAUUCCUUUUUUCUUAUUUUGCCCCCGUCUGAGCGAAUCCCCAAAGGGGACGAGCCGGGAGAAACAUGCCACGCUUUCCCCGUCAAAGCGCACGCUGAAAAUGGCAACUGCGCGACUUCUGCCGCGGGUCUCUCUCCCGAAGGCUGUCCCCUCCCGCCCGAGCCCCGGCCCCGCUUGUCCUCCGCCGUGGGGAGGGCUCCCGGCCCUGCCCGCACCUCCCGGCCUCUCCCGGCAGCUGUGGGGCAGCCGCCAGCGCAGCCCCGCGCAGGAUGC